rnacentral:tRNA from 1 species
GAAACAUAUUAAUUAAGAAAAAGCUUCUAACUUUCUUCUUUAGCAGUGAAAUUCUGUUAAUGUUUCU